GCUCAGUCUCUGGAUAUAGACCCGAAACCGGGUGAUCUAGCCAUGGGCAGGUUGAAGGUUGAGUAACAUCAACUGGAGGACCGAACCGACUAAUGUUGAAAAAUUAGCGGAUGACUUGUGGCUAGGGGUGAAAGGCCAAUCAAACUCGGAGAUAGCUGGUUCUCCCCGAAAGCUAUUUAGGUAGCGCCUCGGACGAAUACUACUGGGGGUAGAGCACUGUUAAGGCUAGGGGGUCAUCCCGACUUACCAACCCUUUGCAAACUCCGAAUACCAGUAAGUACUAUCCGGGAGACACACGGCGGGUGCUAACGUCCGUCGUGGAGAGGGAAACAACCCAGACCGCCAGCUAAGGUCCCAAAGUAUUGCUAAGUGGGAAACGAUGUGGGAAGGCUCAGACAGCUAGGAUGUUGGCUUAGAAGCAGCCAUCAUUUAAAGAAAGCGUAAUAGCUCACUAGUCGAGUCGGCCUGCGCGGAAGAUGUAACGGGGCUAAGCAAUACACCGAAGCUGCGGCAAUGUCUUUUAGACAUUGGGUAGGGGAGCGUUCUGUAAGCCGUUGAAGGUGAAUCGUAAGGUUUGCUGGAGGUAUCAGAAGUGCGAAUGCUGACAUGAGUAACGACAAAGGGGGUGAAAAACCUCCUCGCCGGAAGACCAAGGGUUCCUGUCCAACGUUAAUCGGGGCAGGGUGAGUCGACCCCUAAGGUGAGGCCGAAAGGCGUAAUCGAUGGGAAACGGGUUAAUAUUCCCGUACUUCUGACUAUUGCGAUGGGGGGACGGAGAAGGCUAGGUGGGCCAGGCGACGGUUGUCCUGGUUCAAGUGCGUAGGCUUGAGAGUUAGGUAAAUCCGGCUCUCUCUAAGGCUGAGACACGACGUCGAGCUACUACGGUAGUGAAGUCAUUGAUGCCAUGCUUCCAGGAAAAGCCUCUAAGCUUCAGAUAGUCAGGAAUCGUACCCCAAACCGACACAGGUGGUCGGGUAGAGAAUACCAAGGCGCUUGAGAGAACUCGGGUGAAGGAACUAGGCAAAAUGGUACCGUAACUUCGGGAGAAGGUACGCUCUUGAUGGUGAAGUCCCUCGCGGAUGGAGCUGACGAGAGUCGCAGAUACCAGGUGGCUGCAACUGUUUAUUAAAAACACAGCACUGUGCAAAAUCGCAAGAUGACGUAUACGGUGUGACGCCUGCCCGGUGCCGGAAGGUUAAUUGAUGGGGUUAGCGCAAGCGAAGCUCUUGAUCGAAGCCCCGGUAAACGGCGGCCGUAACUAUAACGGUCCUAAGGUAGCGAAAUUCCUUGUCGGGUAAGUUCCGACCUGCACGAAUGGCGUAAUGAUGGCCACGCUGUCUCCACCCGAGACUCAGUGAAAUUGAAAUCGCUGUGAAGAUGCAGUGUACCCGCGGCUAGACGGAAAGACCCCGUGAACCUUUACUACAGCUUGGCACUGAACAUUGAACCUACAUGUGUAGGAUAGGUGGGAGGCUAUGAAGACGUGACGCCAGUUGCGUUGGAGCCGUCCUUGAAAUACCACCCUUGUAUGUUUGAUGUUCUAACUUAGACCCAUUAUCUGGGUUGAGGACAGUGCCUGGUGGGUAGUUUGACUGGGGCGGUCUCCUCCCAAAGAGUAACGGAGGAGCACGAAGGUGGGCUAAUCACGGUUGGACAUCGUGAGGUUAGUGCAAUGGCAUAAGCCCGCUUAACUGCGAGAAUGACGGUUCGAGCAGGUGCGAAAGCAGGUCAUAGUGAUCCGGUGGUUCUGUAUGGAAGGGCCAUCGCUCAACGGAUAAAAGGUACUCCGGGGAUAACAGGCUGAUACCGCCCAAGAGUUCAUAUCGACGGCGGUGUUUGGCACCUCGAUGUCGGCUCAUCACAUCCUGGGGCUGAAGUCGGUCCCAAGGGUAUGGCUGUUCGCCAUUUAAAGUGGUACGCGAGCUGGGUUUAGAACGUCGUGAGACAGUUCGGUCCCUAUCUGCCGUGGGCGUUGGAAGAUUGAAGGGGGCUGCUCCUAGUACGAGAGGACCGGAGUGGACGAACCUCUGGUGUUCGGGUUGUGUCGCCAGACGCAUUGCCCGGUAGCUAAGUUCGGAAUUGAUAAGCGCUGAAAGCAUCUAAGCGCGAAGCGAGCCCUGAGAUGAGUCUUCCCUGACAGUUUAACUGUCCUAAAGGGUUGUUCGAGACUAGAACGUUGAUAGGCAGGGUGUGUAAGCGUUGUGAGGCGUUGAGCUAACCUGUACUAAUUGCCCGUGAGGCUUAACCAUACAACACCCAAGGGGUUUUGUA
rnacentral:rRNA from 1 species